CGUCUCAGCUCCAACUUUGUC
rnacentral:misc_RNA from 1 species